rnacentral:tRNA from 1 species
GGUGGUAUAGCCAAGUCUGGUAAGGCAAUAGGUUGCAACCCUAUGAGCAUGGGUUCAAAUCCCAUUACCACCU